GUGGGGAAUAUUGGACAAUGGGCGAAAGCCUGAUCCAGCCAUGCCGCGUGUGUGAAGAAGGUCUUCGGAUUGUAAAGCACUUUAAGUUGGGAGGAAGGGCAGUAAGUUAAUACCUUGCUGUUUUGACGUUACCGACAGAAUAAGCACCGGCUAACUCCGUGCCAGCAGCCGCGGUAAUACGAAGGGUGCAAGCGUUAAUCGGAAUUACUGGGCGUAAAGCGCGCGUAGGUGGUUUUGUAAGUUGGAGGUGAAAUCCCCGGGCUCAACCUGGGAACUGCCUCCAAAACUGCAUGACUAGAGUACGGUAGAGGGUAGUGGAAUUUCCUGUGUAGCGGUGAAAUGCGUAGAUAUAGGAAGGAACACCAGUGGCGAAGGCGACUACCUGGACUGAUACUGACACUGAGGUGCGAAAGCGUGGGGAGCAAACAGGAUUAGAUACCCGAGUAGUCC
rnacentral:rRNA from 1 species